GACGGCCUCCGCAGGGGCCGUGGAGGCACACGCCUGAGCCUCCACCUCCUGAUCUGGCUUCAGUUCCUUCAACCCCUGCUCAGUGAGCCAUACCGACCCGAGGAGGAUUCCAGAAUGACCCCGGCAAGCCCAGAAGCCCGGACGUCUCCUGUGCACCCGAAAUUCCCCAAAAUUCCAGAAACUUCUGUAGCUCCAGGGUCUCCAGCGACCGCAGGGCCUCCAGGAUCCUGGGUUACUUCAGCAUCUACAGUGGGAGAAGCCUUGGAAUCCGACGGAAUCUCUGACCUUGGAAGGCAGUUUUCUCAGGCCUGUGGCCACCGUGUUUCAAGGAUGAUUGGAGGAUUGCCAGCCCCAAACAAGAAGUGGCCCUGGCAGGUGAGCCUGCAGACCAGCAACAUACACCACUGCGGAGGCUCCCUCAUCGACAGGCGCUGGGUGCUCACUGCCGCCCACUGUGUCUUUAGUAAUUUGGAAUACAAGGUGAAGCUGGGAGACCCUGACUUGCAUGCUGGUUCCAAAGAGGCACUGGUGAUCCCAGUUUGAGACAUCAUUUUUCCUAGCAAUUUUGAUUUUGCCACUUUGACAAGCGACAUUGCCCUUGCUCUGCUCGCCUACUCUGUGAAUUAUUCCUCACAUAUCCAGCCUGCGUGCCUCCCCGAAAAGCUUUUUGAAGUGGAAGCUGGGACAGAGUGCUGGGUGACUGGAUGGGGCCAAGUGUCAGAGAGUGUUUCAGGACCAAUGCCACUUGUUCUUCAGGAGACUGAGCUAAACAUUAUGCGUCAUGAGAAAUGUUGUGAGAUGCUCAAGAACAAGAAUAUAUCCAAGAGUAAAAUGGUCACGAGGGGGACCGUCUGUGGCUAUAAUGACCAAGGGAAGGAUGCCUGUCAGGGAGAUUCUGGGGGGCCCCUGGUCUGUGAAUUAAAUGGCACAUGGGUCCAGGUGGGGAUUGUGAGCUGGGGCAUUGGCUGCGGUCGCAAAGGAUACCCUGGAGUUUACACAGAAGUUAGUUUCUACAAGAAAUGGAUUAUUGAUCACCUGAGACAAGCUUCCUGUUUGAAUUCAAAGACUUCCUCAUCCUAGUCCUGUGUCUGGUGAUGCCCCUGGGCAUCCUGGUGACCUCGUGAUCAGACCCCAUUCCACUCUUCUGCUGUUUCUGAGUCUCACACUUAGGUGUCUCCUCUGACCAACUUCCCACUCCUUCUCAAUGCCCUUUCCGCAAAUCCCAGUUGGAAUCCACGGGCCCUCUGGAGAUCCGUACAAUAGAGCAUGGCAGGGAGACUGGGGCCUGGAAAGUGCCCCUGCCUGGUGCUCUGGUCUAGAGGGCCAGCUGCUCUGCCAGGUGGGCCACGGUGACUCGUCAAUAUCUGGAGGAACAUCUAUCAAAGAAGAGACAUCAUCAACGGUGAAGCAAGCGUUAGAUGUGGUUCUGGUUUCAGGGCUCUCACCUGAGACUUUGUGAAACCAGCCAGCUGGGUGAUUGCUCACAGAGAGUGAAGGAGGCGUUACCAGGUCCCUGCAGACGUGUGAGGCCUGGGACUUCCACUCUGGCUCAGUUGUCUGGGGCUGGGAGAAGUUCCCCUGCAGCCCAGUGUGGAUCCAUCUGUGAGUGGACAGCCUCUGCCACACUAGUUCUUUUGGAGCAACCCAUUCUUGGCACCCCCUUCCUCAGUGCCCUAGUGGCCACUUUCAGGGACACCACAAGUUGUGUUGAGGCAGUUAUGAAGUGUGGAGUUUUCAUAAAUCAACUGAAUAAAUGUUUGGAGAGUC